rnacentral:misc_RNA from 1 species
AGACGCCGACGAUGGGGUCAUGGCGCCCCGAACCCUCCUCCUGCUGCUCUCGGGGACCCUGGCCCUGGCCGAGACCUGGGCGGGCUCCCACUCCAUGAGGUAUUUCAGCACCGCGGUUUCCUGGCCGGGCCGCGGGGAGCCCAGCUUCAUUGCCGUGGGCUACGUGGACGACACGCAGGUCGUGCGGGUCGACAGUGACGCCGUGAGUCUGAGGAUGAAGACGCGGGCGCGGUGGGUGGAGCAGGAGGGGCCGGAGUAUUGGGACCUACAGACACUGGGCGCCAAGGCCCAGGCACAGACUGACCGAGUGAACCUGCGGACCCUGCUCCGCUACUACAACCAGAGCGAGGCGGACCCCCCCAAGACACACGUGACCCACCACCCUGUCUCUGAACAUGAGGCAUAACGAGGUGCUGGGUUCUGGGCUUCUACCCUGCGGAGAUCACAUUGACCUGGCAGCGGGAUGGGGAGGACCAGACCCAGGACAUGGAGCUCGUGGAGACCAGGCCCACAGGGGAUGGAACCUUCCAGAAGUGGGCGGUUGUGGUAGUGCCUUCUGGAGAGGAACAGAGAUACACAUGCCAUGUGCAGCACAAGGGGCUGCCCAAGCCCCUCAUCCUGAGAUGGGAGCCCUCUCCCCAGCCCACCAUCCCCAUUGUGGGUAUCAUUGCUGGCCUGGUUCUCCUUGGAGCUGUGGUCACUGCUGUGAUGUGGAGGAAGAAGAGCUCAGUCACACAUUUCUGGAAACUUCUCGAGGGUCCAAGACUAGGAGCUUCCUCUAGGACCUCAUGGCCCUGCUACCUUCCUGGCCUCUCACAGGACGUUUUCUUCCCGCAGAUAGAAAAGGAGGGAGCUACUCUCAGGCUGCAAUGUGAGACAGCUGCCUUGUGUGGGACUGAGAGGCAAGAUUUGUUCAUGCCUUCCCUUUGUGACUUCAAGAACCCUGACUUCUCUUUCUGCAAAGGCAUCUGAAUGUGUCUGUGUCCCUAUAGGCAUAAUGUGAGGUGGUGGGGAGACCAGCCCACACCCGUGUCCACCAUGACCCUGUUCCCCACACUGACCUACAUUCCUUCCCCGAUCACCUUUCCUGUUCCAGAGAAGUGGUGCUGGGAUGUCUCCAUCUCUGUCUCAACUUCAUGGUGCACUGAGCUGUAACUUCUUACUUCCCUAUUAAAAUUAGAAUCUGAGUAUAAAUUUACUUUUUUCAAAUUAUUUCCAUGACGGGUUGAUGGGUUAAUUAAAGGAGAAGAUUCCUAAAAUUUGAGAGACAAAAUAAAUGGAAGACAUGAGAA